CGAGUACGACCCGUUACGACGGGGAAGUGUCUGAUGUCAGGCUUCCAAGAAAAGCCCGAACCACGUUAAUUCAAAUUGGCCCGUACCCUGAACCGACACAGGUGGGAAGGUAGAGUAUACCGAGGGGCGCGAGAUAACUCUCUCUAAGGAACUCGGCAAGAUGGCCCCGUAACUUCGGGAGAAGGGGUGCCACCGAGAGGUGGUCGCAGUGAAGAGUCCCAGGCGACUGUUUACCAAAAACACAGGUCUCCGCUAAGUCGCAAGACGAUGUAUGGGGGCUGACGCCUGCCCAGUGCCGGAAGGUUAAGGAAGUUGGUCAGGCUCUUCGGAGUUGAAGCUAGCGACUGAAGCCCCGGUGAACGGCGGCCGUAACUAUAACGGUCCUAAGGUAGCGAAAUUCCUUGUCGGGUAAGUUCCGACCCGCACGAAAGGCGUAACGAUCUGGGAGCUGUCUCGGAGAGAGGCUCGGCGAAAUAGGAAUGUCUGUGAAGAUACGGACUACCUGCACCCGGACAGAAAGACCCUAUGAAGCUUUACUGUAGCUUGGUAUUGGGUUCGGGCUUUAAUUGCGCAGGAUAGGUGGGAGACUAUGAGAUAGCUCUUGUGGGAGUUAUGGAGUCACUGGUGAGAUACCACUCUAUUAAGGCUAGAAUUCUAACUUUGACCCGUUAUCCGGGCAGGGGACAGUAUCAGGUGGGCAGUUUGACUGGGGCGGUCGCCUCCUAAAUGGUAACGGAGGCGCGCAAAGGUUCUCUCAGGCUGGUUGGAAAUCAGCCAUCGAGUGUAAAGGCAAAAGAGAGCUUGACUGCGAGAGUGACAACUCGAGCAGGUACGAAAGUAGGCCUUAGUGAUCCGACGGUUCCGCGUGGAAGGGCCGUCGCUCAACGGAUAAAGGUUACUCUAAGGAUAACAGGCUGAUCUCCCCCAAGAGUUCACAUCGACGGGGAGGUUUGGCACCUCGAUGUCGGCUCAUCGCAACCUGGGGCUGUAGUCGGUCCCAAGGGUUGGGCUACUCGCCCAUUAAAGCGGUACGUGAGCUGGGUUCAGAACGUCGUGAGACAGUUCGGUCCAUAUCCGGUGCAGGCGUAGGAACAUUGAGAGGAGUCUUCCUUAGUACGAGAGGACCGGGAAGAACGCACCGCUGGUGUACCUGUUAUCGUGCCAACGGUAAACGCAGGGUAGCUAAGUGCGGAGAGGAUAACCGCUGAAAGCAUCUAAGUGGGAAGCCCACCUCAAGAUGAGUGUUCCCAUGGCAUAAGCCAGUAAGGUCACGGGUAGACCACCCGUUAAUAGGCGCUAGAUGGAAGUCCAGCAAUGGAUGUAGUCGAGGCGUACUAACAGACCGAGGGCUUGU
rnacentral:rRNA from 1 species